UGCGACGUCCAUCAGUGAAUAGCUCGUUAUGUUUACGUUGUUGCUGGUGCAAUCGUAUGCUAUGAGCCCUUUAAGCUCACUUCCUAUUGCUUGGCUAAUCAGUAGAAAUAGCGCUAUUAUUGUUAAGGUCCACAUAUUGGCGUUGAUUACCCUGGCUUUCUUCGCCGGGUUAUUGUUUUCUUUGAGUUCUCUCGUUACCAAAUCCUUUGAUGAUGCUGUGACGUAUCUUGUUGUGGCGGUUAGGCCUUCCUUGUUAAGAUGCCACGUUGGUGGUUUUAUUCUUCGUUUAUUUCGUCUUUAUCGUCGGGGUCGUUACAAAGGCGGCAGUUGCCGUUUUGGUUAUCCACAAGCAUGCUAGACAUUUUGUUCCUUGUGGCUUCUCUCUAGAAUUCCGGAUUCGUUCGAUUUUUGCUGGUUCGCGUUUUAGUCCUCUGGUGAGGUUUAAAGUGGUUAAUUCGACCGCCUUCUUUUCGGUUCUCUAGCACGUCCUCGCAAGGAUCGUGCCCGUUGUCCUCUUCCUGGGGUUUCCAAUGGUCGAUUCGACGCCUUCUUACCGGUUCUCUAGCACGUCCUCGCAAGGAUCGUGCCCGUUGUCCUCUUCCUGGGGUUUCCAAUAGUCGAUUCGACGCCUUCCGGCUCUCUAGCACGUCCUCGCAAGGAUCGUGCCCGUUGUCCUCUCCCUGGGGUUUCCAACGGUCGAUUCGACGCCUUCCGGCUCUCUAGCACGUCCUCGCAAGGAUCGUGCCCGUUGUCCUCUUCCUGGGGUUUCCAAUAGUCGAUUCGACGCCUUCCGGCUCUCUAGCACGUCCUCGCAAGGAUCGUGCCCGUUGUCCUCUUCCUGGGGUUUCCAACGGUCGAUUCGACGCCUUCCGGCUCUCUAGCACGUCCUCGCAAGGAUCGUGCCCGUUGUCCUCUUCCUGGGGUUUCCAACGGUCGAUUCGACGCCUUCCGGCUCUCUAGCACGUCCUCGCAAGGAUCGUGCCCGUUGUCCUCUUCCUAGGGUUUCCGAUGGUCGAUUCGACGCCUUCCGGCUCUCUAGCACGUCCUCGCAAGGAUCGUGCCCGUUGUCCUCUUCCUGGGGUUUCCAAUAGUCGAUUCGACGCCUUCCGGCUCUCUAGCACGUCCUCGCAAGGAUCGUGCCCGUUGUCCUCUUCCUGGGGUUUCCAACGGUCGAUUCGACGCCUUCCGGCUCUCUAGCACGUCCUCGCAAGGAUCGUGCCCGUUGUCCUCUUCCUGGGGUUUCCAAUAGUCGAUUCGACGCCUUCCGGCUCUCUAGCACGUCCUCGCAAGGAUCGUGCCCGUUGUCCUCUUCCUGGGGUUUCCAACGGUCGAUUCGACGCCUUCCGGCUCUCUAGCACGUCCUCGCAAGGAUCGUGCCCGUUGUCCUCUUCCUGGGGUUUCCAAUAGUCGAUUCGACGCCUUCCGGCUCUCUAGCACGUCCUCGCAAGGAUCGUGCCCGUUGUCCUCUUCCUGGGGUUUCCAACGGUCGAUUCGACGCCUUCCGGCUCUCUAGCACGUCCUCGCAAGGAUCGUGCCCGUUGUCCUCUUCCUGGGGUUUCCAAUAGUCGAUUCGACGCCUUCCGGCUCUCUAGCACGUCCUCGCAAGGAUCGUGCCCGUUGUCCUCUUCCUGGGGUUUCCAACGGUCGAUUCGACGCCUUCCGGCUCUCUAGCACGUCCUCGCAAGGAUCGUGCCCGUUGUCCUCUUCCUGGGGUUUCCAAUAGUCGAUUCGACGCCUUCCGGCUCUCUAGCACGUCCUCGCAAGGAUCGUGCCCGUUGUCCUCUUCCUGGGGUUUCCAACGGUCGAUUCGACGCCUUCCGGCUCUCUAGCACGUCCUCGCAAGGAUCGUGCCCGUUGUCCUCUUCCUGGGGUUUCCAAUAGUCGAUUCGACGCCUUCCGGCUCUCUAGCACGUCCUCGCAAGGAUCGUGCCCGUUGUCCUCUUCCUGGGGUUUCCAACGGUCGAUUCGACGCCUUCCGGCUCUCUAGCACGUCCUCGCAAGGAUCGUGCCCGUUGUCCUCUUCCUGGGGUUUCCAAUAGUCGAUUCGACGCCUUCCGGCUCUCUAGCACGUCCUCGCAAGGAUCGUGCCCGUUGUCCUCUUCCUGGGGUUUCCAACGGUCGAUUCGACGCCUUCCGGCUCUCUAGCACGUCCUCGUAAGGAUCGUGCCCGUUGUCCUCUUCCUGGGGUUUCCAACGGUCGAUUCGACGCCUACUUACCGGUUCUCUAGCACGUCCUCGCAAGGAUCGUGCACGUUGUGACACCUUUCUCAGUAUCGCAACAGCGAUUAUUUUAAAUUGAUGACUCAGCGUUGAGCGCGUAUUUCAACAGAACACUUUCCAACACUUUUCUUCUGCGAAUCUUCUUAUGGUCGUUUAGGCCUGACCAUUCCUUCCACCGAUUUCGAAACUCGUUGUACAAACACCUUUUCCCUAGGUGUGUUUUCCCAGAGAACUAGUUCAAAGGACCCUGUUUCGCACAGUUCUUGUUUAGCCACUGGCCUUUCGGCCCACUGCUUGUAAUUGUCGGUGUUUUUCACUUCGUCGAACUUCGCAUCAAUCUCGCGGAAGUAUUCGACGAGCUCUUCGAUCUCUCGCGUGAGAUCUGACAUUUCACUCAACUAAACACUACAGGAAUUUUCUUCUGGUUACUCUUUAGGCGGUAACCACACCUUGCUUUUAACCGCAACGAAAACGCGCGACGUUGUGGUUCCUCACUCGGGGCACCAUGUAAACGGCCCGCGGGAUUUUCUUUAUGGCCGGAAUCCGCGCGUCGACUCUAGCACGAUCUCGCGGUGUUUACUCGAUCUUACCGACAACUGGUAGACGCCAACUGAGUGCGUUUCCCCAAUCUUCCCCUUCGGACUGACAGGCUGGGUGGCUGACCCAGUACCUGCUGGCGGAAGGUUCGACUAGAGAACCGUGUCUCUUUAACAGUUAAGCACUGAUUCGUCGGAACGACACUCGCCAGGCGAGUGGUCCGCAACCGAAGGAAGCGAGUGUUUAACCGUUGUUACGGCGGUUCAACAACAGAGGAGAACCAGUCGUGGAUAUUUCCUCUUGUUUUUCCCUUCAGACGGACAGGCUGAUGUUUUAACCAGUACCUGACAGUGGAAGGUUCCAAUAGGGAGCUCUCUCUCUUAACGAUUGAAAGCUGACUCGUCAGAACGACACCCGCCAGGCGAGUAGUCCGCAACCGAAGGAGUCGAGUUUGCAAUCGUUGGUGAUAACCUUAGCGGUUGGACUUACCAGGAAUUUCUCUCUAGAAAGACAAGUUGCCUGUUCCGAGUCUAAACGUAAGAUCAUGUAUUUCGUGGUUGGUUCUGGGUUUUUAUAGGCGACUUUCGUCGAUCUGGGGGACUUAUUCUAAGAAGUGACAAAUGCAGUUCUAUCGUAGGUCCUAUUGAUUCUUAAAGUUAGAAAGGGACAAUUGUCGUGAUUGCCUAAAUCUAAUUUUCUCCCA
rnacentral:lncRNA from 1 species